GGGGGCGAAUGGUAUCGACCGGAUGAGAGAGAUUCAGGUUGCAUGUCCAGGAUGUCGGUUGGCCUGGUAAAAAACCCGGCAAAUUUUUUAAUUGGUAACUCACAGUUACGAAUGGCCGCUUAAAUAAGCGACCCGUCCUGUAGGACCUUGUCUGGUGGUUUUAUAAGGGCGUCACUAUUCAGACUGGCCAAAUUGGGUGUUCGUACCAAUGCGGCGAGACCUAAUCGAACUAGCUGACUUAAUAGCGUGUCUCUUGGCGAUUAAUGACGCGAAACUUAAUGAAGUGACUAAGCAUGUAGACGCCUGUUUUGAAGCAUCUCGGGACGGGGGUUCGAAUCCCCCCGCCUCCAAUU
rnacentral:tmRNA from 1 species